UACGAAGGGUGCAAGCGUUACUCGGAAUUACUGGGCGUAAAGCGUGCGUAGGUGGUUUGUUCAGUCUGAUGUGAAAGCCCUGGGCUCAACCUGGGAACUGCAUUGGAAACUGGCUUACUAGAGUGCGGUAGAGGGGUGCGGAAUUCCCGGUGUAGCAGUGAAAUGCGUAGAUAUCGGGAGGAACAUCCGUGGCGAAGGCGGCACCCUGGACCAGCACUGACACUGAGGCACGAAAGCGUGGGGAGCAAACAGG
rnacentral:rRNA from 1 species